AAAGUUUAACUGGGGUAGUUUUUUUGUAAAAUCUGAGGUUGUAAAAGGCAUAUAAAGUGGCGUUAGGUCCUUUAGAUAAGGAUAAUUUGAGUGAGUUACUUUAGGGAUAACAGCGUAAUAAUCCUAGGGAGAUCGUAUCUAUGGGGUUGAUUGCGACCUCGAUGUUGAAUUAAAAGCUCAGUGUGGAGCAGAAGCUACAGGGUGAGGGUUUGUUCAACCUUUAAAUUUUUACAUGAUCUGAGUUCAAACCG
rnacentral:rRNA from 1 species